AAAAGAGAAAGCAAGUCGAAUGCCAGCCUUUCUUGCUUGAUUUCCUGUUUCGUCCGUGUGGAGAGGGAGGAGUCACAGCUGAGAAGCACUUCCACUGCUACUUUGUCUUUCCUACGCGAUGGACUACGUCCUCACACUGUGAACCAAAGCAGUCCCCCCAUUGAGUUGCUUUUCAGCAUUUUUGUUCGGGUUUUGCAAUUCUGAAAAUCCAUCCCAGCCAAACAUUGAGUCAUGCCCCCAGUCCUUCAGUGGCCUUAUGUCACGGCAGUGAAAAGUGUCUGUCUCCAGAUGGCUCGUUAGACCCAAGGAGCAAUUCUCUUUCAUUUAUAAUAUCUGCAAGUAUUUGAAUUGAUACUGAUAUCUUCAGAUUUUGUUGAAAGCUGCUGUGCAGGUCCCAGCUAUUCCAUGUCUUCAUGGCAGAUGAGAAGUGCAUGGCUGUCUGUAAGCAGAGUGUAAAAGAUGGAACAGAUUGUUUUCUUAGGUGCACACAGGCUGACACUGAAGAUGCACACGUGCCAUUGAAAUAAACCAAGAGUAUUGUGUGGCUUCCAGAGCCCUGCCUGUGCCUGCACCUCUUCCUCUUCUACUCAAGAACUCAUGUUAGCAGGUAAGCUAGUGAAUAUAAGUAUAAGGCUCUAUAGGGACUACCUUAAAUAACACACAUUUCUAGUAAAUGGCAAACAAAUAAGCCAAUUAUAAAUAUUAGACUUCUUGUCACAGACACUGUGUUUAUUCAGACAAUGUCACAUGUGAUGUUUUUAAUUUAUGUUUUAGCAAUUGGUCUCAAACUUCUGGGGAACAUUUUAUUGUUUAUGUAACUUUUAGGAAAGAACACAAUGUUCUUUAGUCAGGAGUCUGAAUGACAGUGUGGAAGAGAAUGCUUAGAAAGAACUGCAGUAGAGCCUUUACUGACUCUAGACAGGUAUU
rnacentral:lncRNA from 1 species